rnacentral:rRNA from 1 species
CCUACGGGGGGCUGCAGUGGGGAAUAUUGGACAAUGGGCGAAAGCCUGAUCCAGCCAUGCCGCGUGUGUGAAGAAGGCCUUCGGGUUGUAAAGCACUUUCAGUGGGGAAGAAAGCCUUGGGGCUAAUACCCUCGAGGAAGGACAUCACCCACAGAAGAAGCACCGGCUAACUCCGUGCCAGCAGCCGCGGUAAUACGGAGGGUGCGAGCGUUAAUCGGAAUUACUGGGCGUAAAGCGCGCGUAGGCGGUCUGUUAAGCCGGUUGUGAAAGCCCCGGGCUCAACCUGGGAACGGCAUCCGGAACUGUCAGGCUAGAGUGCAGGAGAGGAAGGUAGAAUUCCCGGUGUAGCGGUGAAAUGCGUAGAGAUCGGGAGGAAUACCAGUGGCGAAGGCGGCCUUCUGGACUGACACUGACGCUGAGGUGCGAAAGCGUGGGUAGCAAACAGGAUUAGAUACCCGAGUAGUC